rnacentral:rRNA from 1 species
AUCGGGGACAGAUUCUAAAUAAUUGGCGGGGGGGCGCACAAGCGGUGGAGCAUGUGGUUUAAUUCGAUGCAACGCGAAGAACCUUACCUGGCCUUGACAUAGUAGAGACUUUCCAGAGAUGGAUUGGUGCCUUCGGGAAUCUACAUACAGGUGCUGCAUGGCUGUCGUCAGCUCGUGUCGUGAGAUGUUGGGUUAAGUCCCGCAACGAGCGCAACCCUUUUCCUUACUUGCCAGCAUUUUGGAUGGGAACUUUUAGGAUACUGCCAGUGACAAACUGGAGGAAGGCGGGGACGACGUCAAGUCAUCAUGGCCCUUACGGCCAGGGCUACACACGUGCUACAAUGGUCGGUACAAAGGGUUGCUACACAGCGAUGUGAUGCUAAUCUCAAAAAGCCGAUCGUAGUCCGGAUCGCAGUCUGCAACUCGACUGCGUGAAGUCGGAAUCGCUAGUAAUCGCGGAUCAGAAUGCCGCGGUGAAUACGUUCCCGCCCCUUGCACACACCGCCCGAAUCU